UACGAAGGGGGGCUAGCGUUGCUCGGAAUCACUGGGCGUAAAGCGCACGUAGGCGGCUUUCUAAGUCAGGGGUGAAAUCCUGGAGCUCAACUCCAGAACUGCCUUUGAUACUGGGAAGCUCGAGUCCGGAAGAGGUGAGUGGAACUCCGAGUGUAGAGGUGAAAUUCGUAGAUAUUCGGAAGAACACCAGUGGCGAAGGCGGCUCACUGGUCCGGUACUGACGCUGAGGUGCGAAAGCGUGGGGGAGCAAACAGG
rnacentral:rRNA from 1 species